CCCUAUCACCACCACCACCGCCGGAAGAUGAGGGGUCGAGGUUAAGGACUAAAAGCGAUGUGAGAGGUUCUUCGCUAUAUUUCCUUUCUCUUCUUCUUUUUUGUCCAGGCAGCAAUAGAUGACCUUCGCGCGUUCUCUUCUAUCCCACUGUUCUGAGCAUAUCGGGCGAACAGCACCUCACGCAGAGACGCUCUGCUGAAAUUGGUGCCGAGGUUUCAGAUCGCAUAAAGCAAGAAGCCUGUGGUCAUUGCCAUCAUUGUCUUUCGUAGAAGAAGAGGGUACUUUUGCAUUCUACUUCAGUUCCAUUUGCGGUCAUGACAAUGUUAUGUCUAAUGCUGCUACUACUGCCGCUGCAAGAAACACAAGGUCGGAAGGACGAUAUGGCGGAGACGGCGCGUCUUUUCACUACACACCAAGAGCUGUAUUUCACCAAUAUGACGACAAAAACACCAGAUGAUCUCGUACCGGCAGACACGUUCAUCCCAGCAGCCACCGUUGAAGGAACAGCGACGCACCCAAACUUGGACAAAAUCCUGGAAAUGAUGGGUCUGGGGAGCAAAACGAAACGCAAUCAGAGCGUUGAGGAUACAGCUUCUAAAGCACUGUCUGAGUUCCAAGAUGAUGAUGGUUGGGAUACCAAUAGUUCAAUUUCCCUCCCCAUUUCGAGGACAAAGAAGGUGGUUCUGGGACUUGUUGGCAGCACGAUCGUGGUCACGGUAACUGGCUUCGUACUACGAGCCUUCAAGCCAUUCCUCGCUAAGGCGUUCAGAAGCACCCAAAGCCGAAUCCUGGCGCGGAUACCUGGAGUUACAAGGAGGCACGGGGAGGAUACAACUGACCUCCUCAAUAGCAGUGUGAGUGCUUCGACUACCGCUCCACCUACCAAAGGAAGAAACAAAUGGAAAAUUCCGUUCCCCAGGAAACACUGCACGAUUACGGACAGCACAGCGCAUACCAGUAUGGCUUAGGACACUUUCUAGAAAUACGUUAGACGACAACCCUACGCGAACAGAAAUUGUCGUCGGAAUAAAAUAUUCAUAUCAUUACUGCUUAAAUUGAAUUGUGAAU